GUGAAAUUCAGACAUGGAAAUUGAGUACUUGCCAUCAUAUAUACCUAUCUGCUGCCUUUGAUACUGUGAACCAUCAGAUCCUCUUCUCCACCCUCUCCGAGUUGGGCAUCUCCGGCGCGGCCCACGCUUGGAUUGCGUCCUACCUGACAGGUCGCUCCUACCAGGUGGCGUGGCGGCGAAUCGCAUCUCUGCAUGUCUGUCAGACAUAUCAGUGUGGAUGACGGAUCACCACCUCAAGCUGAACCUCGGCAAGACGGAGCUGCUCUUCCUCCCGGGGAAGGACUGCCCGUUCCAUGAUCUCGCCAUCACGGUUGACAACUCC
rnacentral:lncRNA from 1 species